rnacentral:rRNA from 1 species
ACUCAAAUGAAUAGACGGGGGCCCGCACAAGCGGUGGAGCAUGUGGCUUAAUUCGAUGCAACGCGAAGAACCUUACCUGGCCUUGACAUGCAUGUAGUAGGAUCCUGAAAGGGAGACGAGGUAGCAAUACCAGCAUGCACAGGUGCUGCAUGGCUGUCGUCAGCUCGUGCCGUGAGGUGUUCGGUUAAGUCCGGUAACGAGCGCAACCCCUGUGUCUUGUUGCUAGUAGAGCGAGAGCUCUAAGCACUCGAGACAGACUGCUCUGUGAAACGGAGAGGAAGGUGGGGAUGACGUCAAGUCAGUAUGGUCCUUACGGCCAGGGCUGCACACGUGCUACAAUGCCCGGUACAGAGGGAUGCCAAAGCGCAAGCUGGAGCUAAUCCCAGAAAACCGGGCCCAGUUCAGAUUGAAGGCUGCAACUCGCCUUCAUGAAGCCGGAAUCGCUAGUAAUGGCGCAUCAGCUACGGCGCCGUGAAUACGUUCCCGGGCCUUGCACACACCGCCCGU